GCCCGAGUGGUGGAAUUGGUAGACACAACGGACUUAAAAUCCGUCGCUCCUAAACCGAGCGUACCGGUUCGAUUCCGGUCUCGGGCACCA
rnacentral:tRNA from 4 species